rnacentral:rRNA from 1 species
GAUCAUGGCUCAGGAUGAACGCUGGCGGCGUGCCUAACACAUGCAAGUCGAGCGAUUACUUCGGUAAAGAGCGGCGGACGGGUGAGUAACGCGUGGGUAACCUGCCUCAUACACAUGGAUAACAUACCGAAAGGUAUGCUAAUACAGGAUAAUAUAAGAGAUUCACAUGGAUUUCUUAUCAAAGCUCCGGCGGUAUGAGAUGGACCCGCGUCUGAUUAGCUAGUUGGUAAGGUAAUGGCUUACCAAGGCGACGAUCAGUAGCCGACCUGAGAGGGUGAUCGGCCACAUUGGAACUGAGACACGGUCCAAACUCCUACGGGAGGCAGCAGUGGGGAAUAUUGUACAAUGGGCGAAAGCCUGAUUGCAGCAACGCCGCGUGAGUGAUGAAGGCCUUCGGGUCGUAAAACUCUGUCCUCAAGGAAGAUAAUGACGGUACUUGAGGAGGAAGCCCCGGCUAACUACGUGCCAGCCGCCGC